AUUGAACGCUGGCGGCAGGCCUAACACAUGCAAGUCGAGCGGAUGAAGGGAGCUUGCUCCUGGAUUCGGCGGCGGACGGGUGAGUAAUGCCUAGGAAUCUGCCUGGUAGUGGGGGAUAACGUCCGGAAACGGGCGCUAAUACCGCAUACGUCCUGAGGGAGAAAGUGGGGGAUCUUCGGACCUCACGCUAUCAGAUGAGCCUAGGUCGGAUUAGCUAGUUGGUGGGGUAAAGGCCUACCAAGGCGACGAUCCGUAACUGGUCUGAGAGGAUGAUCAGUCACACUGGAACUGAGACACGGUCCAGACUCCUACGGGAGGCAGCAGUGGGGAAUAUUGGACAAUGGGCGAAAGCCUGAUCCAGCCAUGCCGCGUGUGUGAAGAAGGUCUUCGGAUUGUAAAGCACUUUAAGUUGGGAGGAAGGGCAGUAAGUUAAUACCUUGCUGUUUUGACGCUACCAACAGAAUAAGCACCGGCUAACUUCGUG
rnacentral:rRNA from 1 species